AACGAACGCUGGCGGCGUGCUUAACACAUGCAAGUCGAACGCGAAAGGGACUUCGGUCCUGAGUAAAGUGGCGCACGGGUGAGUAACGCGUAGAUAACCUGUCUUCAUGUCUGGAAUAAUACGCCGAAAGGGGUACUAAUACCGGAUAUUCUUGCUUUUCAUAAGUUAUGCAAGCAAAGGUGGCCUCUGCAUAUGCUACUGCAUGAAGAGGGGUCUGCGUACCAUUAGCUAGUAGGUGGGGUAAUGGCCUACCUAGGCGACGAUGGUUAGCGGGUCUGAGAGGAUGAUCCGCCACACUGGCACUGGAACACGGGCCAGACUCCUACGGGAGGCAGCAGUGAGGAAUAUUGCGCAAUGGGGGAAACCCUGACGCAGCGACGCCGCGUGAGUGAAGGGAAGGCCUUCGGGUCGUAAAGCUCUGUCAAGAGGAAAGAGGUGUACAAUGGCUAAUACCUGUUGUAUUUGACGGUACCUCUAAAGGAAGCACCGGCUAACUCCGUGCCAGCCGCAGC
rnacentral:rRNA from 1 species